rnacentral:tRNA from 1 species
GCAGUUCUGGUCGAGUAGUUUAAGGCGAUGGACUAGAAGUUCAUUGGGGUCUCCCCGCACAGGUUCGAAUUCCUGUCGGCUGCG